rnacentral:sRNA from 10 species
GCCGGGCAGGGUGGCUCAUGCCUGUAAUCCCAGCACUUUGGGAGGCUGAGGCAAGCAGAUCACUUGAGUCCAGGAGUUCGAGACCAGCCUGGCCAACAUGGCGAAACGCUGUCUCUACUAAAAAUACAAAAAUUAGCUGGGCAUAGUGGCGGGCACCUGUAAUCCCAGCUACUUGGGAGGCUGAGGCCAGAAGAAUUGCUUGAACCCAGGAGGCAGAGGUUGCAGUGAGCCAAGCUUGCGCCACUGUACUCCAGCCUGGGCAACAGAGUGAAUCUUUGUCUCA